CCGUGGCUUGUUCAUAAGGUACCGUCACUAUCUUCCCUUAUAAAAGGAGUUUACAACCCGAAGGCCUUCGUCCUCCACGCGGCGUCGCUGCGUCAGGGUUUCCCCCAUUGCGCAAAAUUCCCCA
rnacentral:rRNA from 1 species